GAUGAAGAACGCAUCGAAAUGCGAUAAGUAAUGUGAAUUGCAGAAUUCAGUGAACCAUCGAAUCUUUGAACGCUCAUUGCGCCCGGCAGUAAUCUGCCGGGCAUGCCUGUCCGAGCGUCAUUUCUACCCUCGAGCGAGUCCAGCAUCUAGGUGCUGGGCCUCGCCCGGCGUUGGAGCACUACGGGAAGCCCUGUGCUGUCCCCCGUAGGCCCCGAAAUGAAGUGGCGGUCCUGCCGCGGCGCCCCCUGCGUAGUAUAACAGCUCGCUUCGGGACCCGGUGGAGGCCUGCCGUCAAACCUAUACUCUCUAAGUUUGACCUCGGAUCAGGUAGGGUUACCCGCUGAACUUAAGCAUAUCAAUAAGCGGAGGA
rnacentral:misc_RNA from 1 species